rnacentral:rRNA from 1 species
AACGAACGCUGGCGGCAUGCCUAACACAUGCAAGUCGAACGAGACCUUCGGGUCUAGUGGCGCACGGGUGCGUAACGCGUGGGAACCUGCCCUUAGGUUCGGAAUAACUCUCCGAAAUGGGUGCUAAUACCGGAUAAUGUCUUCGGACCAAAGAUUUAUCGCCUUUGGAUGGGCCCGCGUUGGAUUAGCCAGUUGGUAGGGUAAAAGCCUACCAAGGCUACGAUCCAUAGCUGGUCUGAGAGGAAGAUCAGCCACACUGGGACUGAGACACGGCCCAGACUACUACGGGAGGCAGCAGUGGGGAAUAUUGGACAAUGGGCGAAAGCCUGAUCCAGCAAGGCCGCGUGAGUGAUGAAGGCCUUAGAGUUGUAAAGCUCUUUUACCCGGGAUGAUAAUGACAGUACCGGGAGAAUAAGCUCCGGCUAACUCCGUG